AUGAAAAGAUUCUUCAUCCCUUAUUACACUUGUAUUUUAUGUGGGUUGCAUGUCUUGGAGACUAGAUAUCAUCUGUUCUUCCACUGUCCUUUUGCCGGAGCUUGCUGGAUAUAUCUAUGUUCAUCGUGGACUCCCACUUAUCAAGGGCUCCAACAUGAAAUCAACAAUCUCCAGUCAAUUUUGGAAGUGCCAUUUUCUCUAGAAAUUAUUAUACUAGCGUGCUGGGUAAUUUGGAUCACAAGGAACAACUACAUAUUCAGAGGAAUCAAACCAAACCUUUAUUCCCGCAGGAAGGUUUUCAAGGAGGAGAUGCACUGGCUAUCUUACAAGGCCACAAGAAAGGAAUACAUAGAUUUUGCAGACUGGAUUAAUGCAUUCAUGUCGGAGUAA
rnacentral:rRNA from 1 species